rnacentral:rRNA from 1 species
CCUACGGGUGGCAGCAGUGGGGAAUAUUGGACAAUGGGGGGAACCCUGAUCCAGCCAUGCCGCGUGUGUGAAGAAGGCCCUCGGGUUGUAAAGCACUUUCAGUGAGGAAGAACGCCUGGUGGUUAAUACCCAUCAGGAAAGACAUCACUCACAGAAGAAGCACCGGCUAACUCCGUGCCAGCAGCCGCGGUAAUACGGAGGGUGCGAGCGUUAAUCGGAAUUACUGGGUGUAAAGCGCGCGUAGGUGGCUUGAUAAGCCGGUUGUGAAAGCCCCGGGCUCAACCUGGGAACGGCAUCCGGAACUGUCAAGCUAGAGUGCAGGAGAGGAAGGUAGAAUUCCCGGUGUAGCGGUGAAAUGCGUAGAGAUCGGGAGGAAUACCAGUGGCGAAGGCGGCCUUCUGGACUGACACUGACACUGAGGUGCGAAAGCGUGGGUAGCAAACAGGAUUAGAUACCCCAGUAGUC